AGCUUAAUCUCACUUCAUGAGACAGAAGUCGGACCCUAGACGUUUCUCUACGUUCCACAAGUUUCCACAAGUUGACAAGUUGACAAGCUAUUACGUUCAAGUUUCUGCAUUUACGAAAGAAUUGUCGCUUUCCGGCAUGAUCACAACAAAGAAAGAGGAAAUGGGAAGCCUGUCAGGGACUUAUAUACAAGAGGUGCUGGACUCUGAUUGGUUAAACACUUUUCUUUCUGAUUGAUUGACUUGUGCUGCUGGAGGC